rnacentral:lncRNA from 1 species
GAGUAAUUUGAAGUUAAGCUAGUUGUAAUUGGGGUGUGGCUUCCUUUAAAGGGUGCAUGUGAAGGUGAUAUGGGCCAGGAAAGGUCCGUUAGAGCACAUGGAGAGCACAUGAUUUGGAAUGCAUGGGACAUGUGAUUAACAAUGGAGGGGACAGUGAAGCAGCACCAAAUGUACACCAUGUUCUGCACAUUCCCUGCAUGGAAC